CGUAGCUCAGUUCAGAUCGUAGGCUGCAACUCGCCUACGUGAAGGAGGAAUCGCUAGUAAUCGCAGGUCAGCAUACUGCGGUGAAUACGUUCCCGGGCCUUGUACACACCGCCCGUCACACCAUGGAAGUUGGCCACGCCCGAAGCCGUUACUCCAACCCUCGGGAGUAGGACGUCGAAGGUGGGGCUGAUGACUGGGGUGAAGUCGUAACAAGGUAUCCGUACCGGAAGGUGCGGAUGGAUCACCUCCUAA
rnacentral:rRNA from 1 species